ensembl:lncRNA
GGGGUGCAGGUAGGCACACACAACACUGGGAUGUGUUUUAUUUUCGUAUACUUAUAUACUUACAUAUACUUUUUAAUAUAUGUAUUUCUUUCUUUCUUUCUUUUUUUUUUUUUUUGAGACGGAGUCUUGCUUUGUCACCCAAGCUGGAGCGCAGUGGCACAAUCUUGGCUCAGUGCAACCUCCACCUCCUGGGUUCAAGUGAUUCUCCUGCCUCGGCCUCCCGAGUAGCUGGGACUACAGCCACAUGCCGUCACGCCCAGUUGGUUUUUGUAUUAUUAGUAGGACAGGGUUUUGCGACAGCCUCAAUCUCUUGACAUAGUGAUCUGCCCAACUCGGCCUCCCAAAGUGGUGGGAUUACAGGCCUGAGUCACCAUGCCUGGAUGAAUGUAUGUUGUUUUAAGACACUAAAUUUAUAGUAAUUUGUAACAACAGCUAUUGAAAGCUAACAAAGUCUGAUUUAAAGUGGUCCUUGUUUUAGGAAGAAAACAUUCAGGUGAAGAAGGUCCAGGACUGCUCAGGCAGGUGAAAAUACUGCAUUUUGAAAAAUAAACUUUUACAUUUAAAAAUGGUUAAGAUGGAAACUUUCAUGUUACGUGUAUCAUACCACAAUUUAAUUUGUGUGUGUGAGCUUGUGUGUGACAGAGUCUUGCUCUGUCUUGCACUGGAGUGCAGUGGCAUGAUCAUAGUUCACUGAAAACUCAACACCCUGGGCUCAAGGCUUCCUCCCCACUCAAAGUGAGAGAGUUGGGGGUAGGAUAGUCUGAGCCUCCUGCUGGCCAUCCUUCGGCUGCUGUUCCCUAUGCCCUGGCAGAAGGCUCAGUAGUAUUCACAAUCCUGACUUUACCAGCCCCUGCGGCAGAUUGGUCCAAAGGCUGAGUGGGUCUUGGCUGUGAGUGCAACCGGGGUGAGUCAUUCUGCCAGGCUUGGAAACUGUGCUCUUCAGGAAACUCUUCUCAUCAUCCACCACAAUCCUGUCCCGGAUAAGAGGAGCAGUGAGUGCUGCACCCAGGCUCCCUGCCUUCCCAGAGCUCCCAACAGCACACUAGCUCCUCCCUCGAUGCUGUGGGGUCUGGGUGCUCUGUGUUCACCAUGCCCUCACCAUUGCCUCCCCAUUUCACUGCCCUCUCAGCAUUGUCCCAGCCCCUCCAGGGUCACUGCCUGACCAGGUAGGGGUUGGGUGAAGAGGCAGAGGUCAGGGCAAGACCCCUGGUCCAGCUUGACUCUAGGUUUCUCUCUGAAACAUGACUGCUGCAUUCCACAUCCUGUUCCUCGGGCAACCUCAGUUAACACGAUGUGUAGGGAAGUGUAGAAUCUGGGCUGAUGAUGACGAAUUCCUGCCACCAUGGCUUUUCAACUACACUGAUUUUUCCUAAAAUGGAUAAACAGACUAGCAAUAAGUUAUGGAAACACUGUUUUCCUUACUAAUAGUACAGAUGUGUGUAUGUAUCAAUGCUGGUUUUUAAAACAAAGAUAAGCCCAUAGGCACUCUGCUGCAUGCAGAUUCUAUCCCAAAAUAACACACUUUGAAGAUCUUCCAAGACCAGCACAUACAGAUUCUUUUCCUUUUUAUCUCUGCAUGAUAUUGCAUAGAAUGACUGCAUCACAACAAAUGUAACCAGUGUCUAUGUAUCCAUCUUCCCAGCAGUUCCUGCACAGAUGUCGCUGAAGAGAAGUGCCGGGGAAGGGCAGAGAAGACGCGAUCUGUCCUUUAACAUAAGGCUGAUUCUCUUGAACUGUGUGACCAGCGGAAGCAGGUGUGUGUGAACUGGACACAGGUUGAAGAAUCUGCCCCUGUUGAGGCAGAUGGGCCUGAUUAUUGUCCCCCAAUGUCCUAAAACUUGUAAGGAGUUGGAUAAUGAGGAGGCUUGGACUGAAAUGUGAGUCCUGUUGGAGACUCCCUCUCUACCCCCCACCUUGGUGCCUUUCAAAUACCCAAUGGAAUUCCAACUUGAAGGACUGCAUCCUGCUGGAGCUGAACUUGCCUGCCAAAAAUGUGUCCGACCUGCAUUCCUGGCUCCCUGGUUCAGAGACUACCUUUCUCAAGGGCUCUGUGCCUGCGCUGGGAAUGAAACAACCAUGAGAAGGAAACAAAUGUAUAUAAAUUGCUGUCAAUAAAUGACACCCAACCCUUCCAGCUCAAAAAAAAAA